AACGAACGCUGGCGGCAUGCCUAACACAUGCAAGUCGAAUGGGAUCCUAGCUUCGGUUAGGUGAGAGUGGCGGACGGGUGAGUAACACGUGGGAACCUGCCCAUUGGUCUGGGAUAACCGCGGGAAACUGCGGCUAAUACCGGAUGUACCCGAGAGGGGAAAGAUUUAUCGCCGAUGGAGGGGCCCGCGUCCGAUUAGGU
rnacentral:rRNA from 1 species